rnacentral:lncRNA from 1 species
UCGUCAUUUCUGGGAGCACUUUCCUUAGGAGCACUGCUGACACUUAUGUUCCAGCUCUCGGCGACCCCACAAGGGAGUGGGAGUGGAUUCCCUUUGAACAACAUCAAGGAGGAGGAGGAGCCCAUGGCAAAGCUGCGGGCAAGCUUGUUCCCAUCCCAAGGUGAUGUUUCCGUAAUGCUAUCUGUAAUUCUGUAUUUAUCCUUAUAAUUUAUUGUUUUUUUUGAAGAACAGACUCGAGCCAGCUCAUGCAUGGCUCUCGUGCGCUGGGUGUGCAUACAUCUCACUGGUAAUUAUUUUGCUAGUUAGGUCAGGUGUAACGAACAUAUUGUUUUUAUUUAUCUUGUAUAAUGGAUAUGAAUUGUUUGUGAGACUCAUUUGAGAUUAUUAAAAAUAAUAAUGUCCGUUAAACCUGACCUAGCUAGCAAAAUAUUUAGCAGUGAGUUGUAUGCACAGCUAGCACACGAGAGCCAUGUCUGCGCUGGCUGGUGUCUGUUCUAAAAAAGACCAUGGCUCUGCACCAGGGAAACCACUCCCACUCCCUUGCGGGGUCGUCAUGGGCUAGACCUCAGUGCCAGCAGUGCUCCCAAGGAAAGUGCUCCUAGAAACGAAGACACCAUUCAGAGGGAAACCAUUGUCUGUCGGCCGCGGGGUCACCGGGGGUUGCACGUCAGCUCCAUUCCCUAUCUCCGCAUCCGCCAUAGUUGAUGCCACCCCCUGGAUGCAUGGGACCUGGCAAGACCCUCGCCGCUGCUCCUCUGUGCCCCGAACCGCCCCCGAGCGACAACCCGAGGCUAAGGUCUACCACCUCGGCCCGUGAACCCAAGAGUUGCUCCUUGUGCUCGCUGUCGUCACCCCCGCCGAUGCCACGUAGCUAGUCCCUCGAGUAGUCGUCCAUCGGCACCGCACGUACUGGUCACUUGGGCACUGGUAAAAGGAAUGAAGCUCUUGCACGGAGUCCUUCGCCACUUGGUCAGAGAGGAAGUUCACGUGCUCGUCUAAGAAGAACCAGCCACAGUGAUUGACAGGAAUCAAUCACAAUUCAAGCCAGCAACUCAUGACACACGACAGGAAGCGAGAGAAAGAAACGAGCACAUAGGAGGAGGAGAAAGAAGAAUACGAGGAUUGUGCAGCCGAGGAGGGAGGUGGGCGCCAUUGUUGUCUG